CCUACGGGAGGCAGCAGUGAGGAAUAUUGGUCAAUGGACGCAAGUCUGAACCAGCCAUGCCGCGUGCAGGAAGACGGCUCUAUGAGUUGUAAACUGCUUUUGUACGAGGGUAAACGCAGAUACGCGUAUCUGUCUGAAAGUAUCGUACGAAUAAGGAUCGGCUAACUUCGUGCCCGCAGCCGCGGUAAUAAGGUGGAUUCAAGCGUUAUCCGGAUUUAUUGGGUUUAAAGGGUGCGUAGGCGGUCGGAUAAGUUAGAGGUGAAAUGCCGAGGCUCAACUUCGGAAUUGCCGCUGAUACUGGUCGGCUAGAGAGUAGUUGCGGUAGGCGGAAUGCAUGGUGUAGCGGUGAAAUGCUUAGAGAUCAUACAGAACACCGAUUGCGAAGGCAGCUUACCAAGCUACUUCUGACGUUGAGGCACGAAAGCGUGGGGAGCAAACAGGAUUAGAUACCCGGGUAGUC
rnacentral:rRNA from 1 species